rnacentral:rRNA from 1 species
AGAGUUUGAUCCUGGCUCAGAAUCAACGCUGGCGGCGUGCCUAACACAUGCAAGUCGAACGAGAAAGUGGAGCAAUCCAUGAGUAAAGUGGCGACCGGGUGAGUAACACGUGACUACCUACCCUCGAGUGGGGGAUAACUCCGGGAAACCGGAGCUAAUACCGCAUAACAUCGAGAGAUCAAAGCAGUAAUGCGCUUGAGGAGGGGGUCGCGGCUGAUUAGCUAGUUGGCGGGGUAACGGCCCACCAAGGCGAUGAUCGGUAGCCGGCCUGAGAGGGCGCACGGCCACACUGGAACUGAAACACGGUCCAGACUCCUACGGGAGGCAGCAGUGGGGAAUUUUGCGCAAUGGGGGAGACCCUGACGCAGCAACGCCGCGUGGAGGAUGAAGUCCCUUGGGACGUAAACUCC